UUCAACAAACUACUAGUUUUAGCAGAAGAAAAAAAAAUCAUCCAUUUGGUUUCAAAUCUAUAAAUUCUAUUUAAAAAAAGAAAGAAAUAAUUUUGUAAUGGAUGAUUUAGUGAUGAAGUGUACCCAUUCAACCUAAUUAUUGCUUUCAGGAACUCUUUACGCCAAAAUAGUUCUCAUCAUAUUAUGACGUUUCGUUGGUGAGAUGAUUUUGGAGUGGUAAAGAGGAAAGAAUGUCAGGAGAAUUUCUUUGUAAAUUACGUCAAAUUUAUGGUGAGUAAUGUUUUAAU
rnacentral:lncRNA from 1 species